rfam:Nippostrongylus brasiliensis genome assembly, scaffold: NBR_contig0017213
GUUUCAGUAGCAUAGUGGUUAAUGCACAGCCCAGGAUAUGUUAAAACGCGGGUUCGAAUCCCGCCUGAGAUA